rnacentral:rRNA from 1 species
AGCGAACGCUGGCGGCGUGCCUAGCACAUGCAAGUCGAACGUGAAAAGGGAAACCUGAGUAAAGUGGCGUACGGGUGAGUAACGCGUAGGUAAUCUACCCCAGAAUCUGGAAUAACCUGCCGAAAGGCGGGCUAAUACUGGAUAGAGCGAGGGAACUCGUAAGAGAGUUUUUCGGGAAAGGGAGCCCGCAAGGGCCUUCGUUCUGGGAUGAGCCUGCGUCUCAUUAGCUAGUUGGUAAGGUAACGGCUUACCAAGGCGAUGAUGAGUAGCUGGUCUGAGAGGAUGAUCAGCCACACUGGACCUGAAACACGGUCCAGACUCCUACGGGAGGCAGCAGUGGGGAAUCUUGCGCAAUGGACGAAAGUCUGACGCAGCCACGCCGCGUGAGUGAAGAAGGCCUUCGGGUUGUAAAGCUCUGUCGGAUGGGACGAACAUCUUCAUAGUGAAUAGCUAUGAGGACUGACGGUACCAUCAAAGGAAGCACCGGCUAACUCCGUG